UGAUUGCUAAAGAUGCGUAUUAAUGGAAAU
rnacentral:piRNA from 1 species